GACGCCAUGCAGGAUCUUGGUGACGCGUUUGGUCUCAUUCCGAAACACUCGGAACACCAGGAGCGCUGCCCGUGAGAGAGAGAGAGAGAUACAGUAGUGUGAGAAGAGGAGAGGAAGGGAGGCCAUGCUUCUUUUUAAAGAAAUGACAUUUUCAAGGAGCAAGGCAGUGAUGAGCACUGCCUGGAGACUCUCUCCUCCAUGUGAGAACAGCCAAGGCUCAGCACUUGGGCAGAAUGUCACCCUGUUCCAUUUCAGCUACGGCGGAUUCUAAUUGCUGUUUUUAUGGUUCGUUUGCUUUUCCGGAAGGCCUUCCUGGAGACCUGGGUCGAGCCAUGAAAGGAGAGAAAAAUGGACAGUUUGGAGGUGUUAUUAGAUGGUCCGCACAGGAAAAUUCAGACCCAUUUCUAAACACGAGAUCAGUCAGUUUCUCAGUUGGAUGAGAGUUAUUCAGCCCAGACCCUGUGGUCCGGCCUGAAUUCCAGUCUGUCCUCCCUCUGAACGAGGAUCUGGAUAUUUAGCCAGUAGAUCAGCUCUUGUCACAAGUCUGAGAGCACAGGAGACAAUCGGCCUCCUGCCUUUGUAAAACCUUUGUGCUAUUUGGGAAUGAAAAUCAUUUAUCUUCCCAUGAAACCCCUAGUUGAUUCCUGGCAUCAGCCACAGAGGCACCUCUCUCGUCAGUGGGCAGGUGUCCUGCUCACUUCCUUGUGGUUGACCAGUCAGACCUGUCCUGGAUGUUUUUAAGAUGCGAGAGGAACUUGUCUGGGAGAAACGAACCCCCAUGCCAUCCCAUAGCCAGUAAGACUCCGAGGCAGCAGUGUGCUAGUGAAUCAUUUACACUCUACAGCCACACCUGCUCUUUCGUUCUUCGUGUGUUUACUUUAAUCUCAUCCUAAAGGCAUGAGGACACCGAUUCCCAUUGCCAUGGCCUCCUCAUGCUGACCCUAAAGAAAUAUCAGUGCUGAUCCAAGCUCAAACUGAAUACUCGUCUCAGUUCGUUCAGAGUGCGAAAUAUCCAGUCUUCGUCUUUCAUGGGGCGUGCAGGACAGGGAGACUGUAUCGUACCGUGCUUGGUCAGCGCAGGGUGACCCGGGUGUCGGCCUGAUCAGACCUGAUCUGUGUGUCUUUGGGAAGUUAGAAGAAGGAGAG